rnacentral:rRNA from 1 species
UGCCAGCCGCCGCGGUAAUACGAAGGUCCCAAGCGUUGUUCGGAAUCACUGGGCGUAAAGAGUACGUAGGCGGUUAGGUAAGUCAGAUGUGAAAGGCAGGGGCUCAACUCCUGGACUGCAUCCGAUACUGCUUGACUAGAGUAAUGGAGAGGUAAGUGGAAUUCUUGGUGUAGCAGUGAAAUGCGUAGAUAUCAAGAGGAAGACCAAUGGCGAAAGCAACUUACUGGACAUUUACUGACGCUGAGGUACGAAGGCUAGGGUAGCGAAAGGGAUUAGAUA